ACUGUCCAGUGAGCACCCUGCUCCUCAUGAGACCAUGGCAGACUCUCAGCCAGGCACUGAGCACAUCCCUCCCUGUGAUGUCACAGGCUCGCUGAGGAGGCGAUUGGCCUCGGCCAAUAACCACCCUGUCCUUCCCAUGGUCACCCAGAACCCAGCCAGCGACCGCCAUUGCUCUCCCAGGACAUCACAGGGCCGAGCCAAUGGGCUCACACACUGGCCCUAGGCUCCAGUGUCAGCCACGCAGCACCGCCCUUUCCGUGAGGUCACACAGCACCCAGCCAAUGGUCACGCUCUCUCCGAGUGAGGUCAGAGGCUGGCCAUGGCGUCAGAGAGCAGCGGUGCCCGGCCGGGGCUCCCUCCCGCCACGUGCCGUUAAUGAGGGGCGCUAAUUAACGGUGCCGGUCGCCGUGGGCGGAGGGACGCGCCGCCACCGCCGGUCCCCUGCUGCCACCCUGCGGCUGCCACGGCCCGGACCCCCCCUCGGGGGGACCCCAGCGGGGACCAAAAGUUGUCCCUGGGCACGCCAGCCCUGGCGGAGCCGAGCCCGGGCAGUGCUGGCGGCUGCUUUUUAUGGGCUGUGAGUCAACUCACACGCGCUAAAUCCUAAAAUAAACGUGAAACUGGGUCCAGCCUCACCUCGGAGCGCACCGAAAUAGCAACCGGCUCCAACAAGCCCCAGGAACAAGGGAGCUCAGCGCCUUCCCCACCCCUUCUGUAGCCCCCAGCCCAGGGAAGGGGAUGCUGGCGCUGGAGGUCACUGCUGUCCCCUGAGGAGCAGGUGUGGGGUGCAGAAGGUCUACCACGGCAGCAAAAGAGCUCUGGAGGAUAUGAAAGGACUGAGUAAGAGAAUAAAACAGCUUCAGUUCUGGGCAGGGUAACAGAUGUGCGAUAAACCAGAACAAAAACACAUCAGAAACAACCCAGCAGCAGCAAGUCUAUGGAAGGCAACCCGAAACAUCCACCUUGAAUGCAGCAGAGGUUGGAGCAGCUGCCAGCAACAGCACUGGUGCAGCCCUGCUUCAGGUGUGGAUCUCCUGUUCCACGGCUCCAAGCUGAAGAACCCAGACAUGUUCAACCCCACCAGCCUCC